rnacentral:rRNA from 1 species
UUGACCUCAAAUCAGGUAGGAAUACCCGCUGAACUUAAGCAUAUCAAUAAGCGGAGGAAAAGAAACUAACAAGGAUUCCCCUAGUAACUGCGAGUGAAGCGGGAAAAGCUCAAAUUUGAAAUCUGGCAGUCUUUUUUUUCUUCUUUGGCUGUCCGAGUUGUAAUCUAGAGAAGUGCUUACCUGCGCUGGAC